CUGCUGCCUUCCGUAGGAGUCUGGUCUGUGUCUCAGUACCAGUGUGGGGGACCUUCCUCUCAGAACCCCUACGCAUCGUCGCCACGGUGGGCCGUCACCCCGCCGUCUAGCUAAUGCGCCGCAUGCCCAUCCGCCACCGGAUCGCUCCUUUGGCCACCGGAGGAUGCCCUCCGGUGGCGUCACGGGGUAUUAGGCCGCGUUUCCGCGGGUUAUCCCCCUGUGGCGGCCAGGUUGCAUACGUGUUACUCACCCGUGCGCCGGUCG
rnacentral:rRNA from 1 species